AACGAACGCUGGCGGCAUGCCUAACACAUGCAAGUCGAACGAGACCUUCGGGCCUGGUGGCGCACGGGUGCGUAACGCGUGGGAACCUGCCCUUAGGUUCGGAAUAACUCCCCGAAAGGGGUGCUAAUACCGGAUAAUGUCUUCGGACCAAAGAUUUAUCGCCUUUGGAUGGGCCCGCGUUGGAUUCGCUAGUUGGUAGGGGAAAAGCCUACCAAGGCGAGGAUCCAUAGCUGGUCUGAGAGGAUGAUCAGCCACACUGGGACUGAGACACGGCCCAGACUCCUACGGGAGGCAGCAGUGGGGAAUAUUGGACAAUGGGCGAAAGCCUGAUCCAGCAAUGCCGCGUGAGUGAUGAAGGCCUUAGGGUUGUAAAGCUCUUUUACCCGGGAUGAUAAUGACAGUACCGGGAGAAUAAGCUCCGGCUAACUCCGUG
rnacentral:rRNA from 1 species